rnacentral:rRNA from 1 species
GACGAACGCUGGCGGCAUGCCUAAUACAUGCAAGUUGAACGAUGAUAUUCUCUGCUUGCAGAGAAUUGAAGAGUAGCGAACGGGUGAGUAACACGUGGGGAACCUGCCCAUGAGAGGGGGAUAACAUUCGGAAACGGAUGCUAAUACCGCAUAAUGCUUUGGACCGCCUGGUCCAGAGACGAAAGACGGCUUUUGCUGUCACUCAUGGAUGGCCCCGCGCCGUAUUAGCUAGUUGGUGAGGUAAUGGCUCACCAAAGCUGUGAUACGUAGCCGACCUGAGAGGGUGAUCGGCCACACUGGGACUGAGACACGGCCCAGACUCCUACGGGAGGCAGCAGUAGGGAAUCUUCCACAAUGGGCGAAAGCCUGAUGGAGCAAUGCCGCGUGAAUGAAGAAGGUCUUCGGAUCGUAAAGUUCUGUUAUUAGAGAAGAACAAGUCAAGGAGUAACUGUCUUGACUUUGACGGUACCUAACCAGAAAGUCACGGCUAACUACGU